rnacentral:lncRNA from 1 species
AACCAAGUCUACAGGAACACACACCACCUAGCUCUGUCCAUGUAAUAUACUACAGAGGGUGGAAAUGCACAAUGCUUAAAUCUUCACUUGUCCAAUGGAUGUUUAACUCAUUCACUAUUUCCAUCCUCACACAAUGAAGACAGUAUGAGAGGCUUUUGAAGACCAAACUGUCAGCUUUACAUCACUUAUUAUGAACAAGCUUCUUUGGGAGAUGAUUAUUUUUGUUGAAGAACAAUUGUUCAGGAAAAGAUCGUAUAAACACACUUCUUCCUAUUAUUCCAACGGGAUACAGCUUGAAACCCUGGGCAUUAUUUGUAAAUCAAGCAUAAGAAGACUGAAAUGUGGAAAGAAGAAGGUAGACUUUCUUGGGAUCCAAAAAACAACACAACAGUUGGUUAAUUAUGUGGAUUUUCUUUUUGCUUAAUAUAUACCAGUUUAGGUGCUGGAGAAGCCAGCAAACCAAAAAUACCAACAGAUGCAGACAAACAAAAGCCCCAAGAAAAGCCUGCUCAUUUUCUCUAGCCAAAGGACCUGGAGAGCGGCAGUCAAGCAAGGCAGGAAACUUCUAGACAACUACCACCGUAUUCCAGUCAAACACUAUGAAAAAAGACAUCAGCCCCACGCCCUCCCUCAGAAAAUGCUGAGUAGGGAGCUUAGACUUCUACCUUCACUUGACUGUAAUGAGGCCAAGCUGGUCCUCGUUUCUGAGUCAGGACUCAGGAAUACCAUCACUGCCCAGCAGUAAUAAGCCCCUCUUCCCUCAUGGCAUUAGUGAAGGCUACAUGGGAAAGGGAAUUAUUUGAGCAAAAACAUUUAUGUUCAUUUUCUACCUAAAAAUGUUAACAUCAAUUUGAUAUACAACAAUGAUUUCCACAUUUGCAAAGUUGGGACAUUCUACUGAUAUUCCUUGCCCUUUCAUAAUUUCAUGAUGUUUUAAAAAUUAAAUCAUAUUAAAAUAAAUUUGUUUGAACUUUUAUUAAUAAAUUAUCAUGUAUGUAAAGAAGAACAAAAAUAUCACUCAUAUACAAAUAAAAAUUU